rnacentral:piRNA from 1 species
AGGGCUGAGAUACAUGUCACUGU